rnacentral:tRNA from 2 species
GGGCUGGUAGCUCAGUUAGGCAGAGCGACGGACUCUUAAUCCGUCGGUCGGGGGUUCAAGUCCCUCCCAGCCCG